ensembl:lncRNA
GCUUUGGAAAGGCUUUUCCAAAGCAAACAUUCGUACAUUUUCCGCGCAAAACGGUAUAGGAAGAGAACGAUUGCAGGACUCCAAACUGGAGAGCGAGAUUGCUCAAGCAAUUAAUGAGGUAAGCAACAGCAUUUUGAUUAAUUUGUAUGAUUGCUAACCGCAGUGUACUUGCAGGUAGUGACCAGUGGCGUUUGUAGCCUACAAAAUGCACCAGUGGCGUUUGUAGCCUACAAAAUGCACACCAUUUUGUAGCCAAAAUGGUGUGCACCAACAAUUAGGAAAAACAACAGUGCUUUCUCUUGUAACCGAUGUGUUCCUCACAGAUCCAUGCACUGUAGCAAUCACACAAGCCUAAAUGAAGAAUGCAUUAUUCCACGUCAUAAGCUGACAAAACUUGCAAUAACCUUUGUAUAGAAUCUGUCCAAAAUAAGAUGGUGUGUGUAAUAAUUGGUUUGUAAGAGGAAUACAAAAAAGGAUUGCAUAUUCGUCUUCAAUUUCAGACUGGACCAUCAUAUGGAAGAAGAAUGAUGACGGGCUACCUGUCCUCCAAAGGUAUCAGAGCAUCUGAGGGGCGCGUUGGUAGUGUCCUCAGACAUAUUAACAGGCCAUAUCAUGCAGAUCGUCAUCAGAGAUCAAGGAACUUAAAUCCAGUGCCAUACAGUGUCGAGUGCAUGGGUCACAAACUGCACUUAGAUGGUGAUGUUCGGGGUGACCCAUGUCCUUGCUGUUGACGGUUUCUCCAGUAAAAUUGUCAGCCAUUCCACUAUGCCUGUCAAAAACAACCUGACAAUAUAUCAAGAGGUGUACAGAAGUGCUGUCCUACAGCACAGAAUGUGGGACCAAAUACGAGUGGACCACGGAAGAGGGUUUUUCUUGACUCUUUUCAUGCAGGAGAAAUUGGCAGGCUACAGAAAUAACACAGCAAGGGAGCCGUACCUGCAAACAUCGUCAACACAUAAUCAUAUAAUUGAAAGGAUGUGGCCAGAUGUUAAUAACAGGGUAAACUACCCUCUGAAAAAGGGCUCUCAUCCACCUUGUAGACCAGGAGGAACUCAACAUGGAGGACAACUUGACACGGUAUUGUGUGUCCACGCUUACCUGUCAGGUGGCUCAGAUUGGACUUGACCGGAUGGUGCAGUCCUGGAAUGCACACAGGAUCCAAGGCAAGGGCAUCCCAGAUCAACUGACUCUGGGUGGAUGCCCAAAGAAAGCGCCAGCAGAUUGUCUGCCAGAGGCUGCAGGAGCUGCACACACUUACCUGCAGGAAGUGGGGUCCUCUUUGACACAAGUGUCAAUGUUUGGGAGAAAUCCAUUCUCCACAGCUGAAAACCAGACAGUAGCUGAACAUGAAUUUGCACAGCAGUACAGCGACGUUUCGGAAUUCUAUAACCACACCGUCAACUAUGAACCAACCCAUUUCCAAAAUGGAAUUAGGGAUCUUAUUGACAUUGUGAGAAGACAUGUGUAGCCUGAUCUGUCGGAUCGCAGAAGCUAUGCAGGGUCUGGCCUGGAGCUUCCUGUAUGUUAGUUGAGAAGUUUUUUUUUGAUGUUCUAAUGUUGCGUUGUUAAUGUGUUAGACGGCUUAGAUG